ensembl:snoRNA
UUGCAUGAGGAAGUAUCUGCUCUUCAUUCCUUUGGGAGGAGAAAUACAUCUGUAACACGCUAAACUACAAAAGUAGGUCUCAGGGCUGCCAACCUUUCAGUAGAGGUUGAGUGGUGGCAUAUUACUCCUAUAUAA